GUCUAUGGCCAUGCCACCCUGAACAUGCCUGAUUUUGUCUGAUCCCGGAAGCUAAGCAGGGCUCGGACCUGGUUUAGCACUCAGAUGAGAGACCACUUAAGAAUACCAAAUGCUGUAGACG
rnacentral:rRNA from 1 species